rnacentral:rRNA from 1 species
CCUACGGGAGGCAGCAGUGGGGAAUUUUGGACAAUGGGCGCAAGCCUGAUCCAGCAAUGCCGCGUGCAGGAUGAAGGCCUUCGGGUUGUAAACUGCUUUUGUACGGAGCGAAACGGUCUGCUUUAAUACAGUAGGCUAAUGACGGUACCGUAAGAAUAAGCACCGGCUAACUACGUGCCAGCAGCCGCGGUAAUACGUAGGGUGCGAGCGUUAAUCGGAAUUACUGGGCGUAAAGCGUGCGCAGGCGGUUAUAUAAGACAGAUGUGAAAUCCCCGGGCUCAACCUGGGACCUGCAUUUGUGACUGUAUAGCUAGAGUACGGUAGAGGGGGAUGGAAUUCCGCGUGUAGCAGUGAAAUGCGUAGAUAUGCGGAGGAACACCGAUGGCGAAGGCAAUCCCCUGGACCUGUACUGACGCUCAUGCACGAAAGCGUGGGGAGCAAACAGGAUUAGAUACCCUGGUAGUCCACGCCCUAAACGAUGUCAACUGGUUGUUGGGUCUUCACUGACUCAGUAACGAAGCUAACGCGUGAAGUUGACCGCCUGGGGAGUACGGCCGCAAGGUUGAAACGUCAAAGUAGUAGUAGGCGUGAGAGAGCGACGACGACGACGAGGAGGAGGNG